rnacentral:rRNA from 1 species
UACGUAGGGGGCAAGCGUUGUCCGGAAUCAUUGGGCGUAAAGCGCGUGUAGGCGGCUCGGUAAGUCCGCUCUGAAAGUCCAAGGCUCAACCUUGGGAUGCGGGUGGAUACUGCCGGGCUCGAGUCCGGAAGAGGCGAGUGGAAUUCCUGGUGUAGGCGGUGAAAUGCGCAGGAUAUCAGGAGGAACACCAAUGGCGAAGGCAGCUCGCUGGGACGUGACUGACGCUGAGACGCGAAGCGUGGGAGC